UAAUGUUGAAGUCAUAGUAUAAAACCAAUUAAACGAAAUAUUGAAAAAAAAGACAACCGGUGACGAGGUCCUGUUAACUUUUGGCCUUUGGCGUGUCGGUCCUUCCUUAAAAGACACACCUUACAUAGUGGAUACAAUAACGUUCUUUUAAGACUUCUCCGCGAGGACGUAGUUAAGAAAAGCACUGUGUCGCCGGGUUUACUCUUGAGUCAAGAGAUGGAGAUCUCGCCAAAAUAGUUUGUAUAACAGCCAAAAUAGUUGACGACGCCAACUUCCUCUCACCUACUACAGUUUACCACUAUUCUAGUUCCUUACGUUCUCGACUCGACAUAUAACUUACCAUGUACAUGGGUGGCCACCGGGGAGUAAAUAAAGUUGGUACGCAGUGAUAACAACUUAUACAAAAAUAUUAAAGUAAUUAAUAUAUAUGAACGUCUAUGAGACAAAAUGGAUGUUGAUUUACAAAAAUUCUAGCAAAAUCGUAACGGUGACACAUUCACGCCACUUCAAAUAAAAAGACACAAAUUAUUAGAAGAAAUCUGGUAGGUCAGGUCACAGCUACCACAGAUUAAAAAGUCAAUGAUGUUUACUAAGGGUGGUUUAUUACACAUGUCUUACGUGGUGAAAGGUUGAACACUGCGUACUGUACGUACCUAGACGACGCUUCUAAAAAGAGUGAAAACAGUGACUCCCAAGUCGUCCUUGUCCAUUCCCCCCGUUUAGUUUGUUGCUAUUUGACCCCUCGGUCUAACGGGCACGCGAAUAGUUCACUUCAAACUCUACCGUGGCUCUCGUCUAGCUUCUAACUCUACACUACCGAACAACAACAACCGACCUACACACGAGACGUCACCAAGUGGACGACGACAAUGGAUCGACAACGACGGACGACUUAACUAUUCGGUUCAAAAAGACUUGGAGCUCUCAUCCUAAAGGUCGUCUCUCGUCUGACUUCUAACUACACGAACAAAACGAGACGCAACGCAAAACAUUAACCGGCUCAAGAUCAUCUCAUAACAACUAUAAAAAAAUAACUUUAAUCCCCAUUUGCAGUGUAGGAGACAAAGUCAGAUAACGAAGGUGUAGUCGACUGACCUUAAGAGGGACACUUUUGUCGUACGUUUAUAAUCAAACGAGUUGAGACAUGGAAGAAGUCCCGACAUAUCUAGUUUAAAUGCCG
rnacentral:rRNA from 1 species